CCCGGCAGGGCUCCGGGCGGCGGCGGCGUGGGGGGAUGCGGUGACCUUGCGGCUGGGCGGCAGGCGCAGAACGAGCGCCCCGGGGCCGGGCCAUGGGCACGGUGCCGUCCGCGCUGAAGCACUGCCUCAGCUAUCAGCACCUCCUCAAGGAGCAGCUCUGGAUCGGGGAGCCGGCCGCGCCGCCGCCUGCUCUGCAUCCCGGGCAGGAAUUUCAAAUAUCUGGAUUUCCUGACUAUGUUAAAAUUGUAGAAGUUGGGCCAAGAGACGGAUUACAAAAUGAAAAGGUUACAGUUCCCACAGAUAUCAAAAUUGAGUUAAUCAACCGACUUUCCAAAGCAGGCUUGUCUGUAAUAGAAGCAACCAGUUUUGUUUCAUCAAAGUGGGUACCUCAGAUGGCAGAUCACACAGAAGUAAUGAGAAGGAUCGAGCGGCAUCCUGGGGUCCAAUAUCCUGUACUCACACCUAAUCUUCAAGGUUUUCAUUCUGCUAUUGCAGCAGGAGCUACAGAGGUAUCAGUAUUUGGUGCAGCAUCUGAAUCUUUCAACAAAAUGAAUAUUAAUUGUUCUAUAGAAGAAAGCAUAGAAAAAUUUGAAGAAGUUACUAAAUCAGCACGAAAUAUGAAUAUUCCAGUGCGAGGGUAUGUAUCUUGUGCACUGGGAUGCCCGUAUGAAGGAAACAUCAUACCAGCUAAAGUGGCAGAAGUGUCUAAACAGCUGUAUAGCAUGGGCUGCUAUGAGAUCUCUCUGGGGGACACAAUUGGUGUGGGGACCCCCGGCAGCAUGAAAAGAAUGUUGGAAGCUGUUAUGAAGGAAAUCCCAGUGAGUGCUCUUGCUGUUCACUGCCAUGACACGUAUGGCCAGGCUUUAGCCAAUAUCCUCACAGCCUUACAGCAGAUUUUUUGCCUUUUUGAGGGCAACAUGCUCCAUAGAAUACCACAUUCUGUGCCUCUUCCUUUCUGCUGGCCACCUCCAAUCCCUUUUUGCCUUAUAUUGCCUCCGUCAACAUGUAAGUGGAGUGGAGAGGAUGCCAGCAACUCCACAGGGAGAUGGGAGUUGGUGUUGUGGACUCUGCUGUUGCUGGAUUAGGUGGCUGUCCAUAUGCGAAAGGUGCUACUGGAAACGUAGCCACGGAGGAUGUGCUAUACAUGCUUAAUGGGUUAGGGAUAAAUACGGGAGUGAAUCUUUACAAGGUGAUGGAAGCUGGUAACUUCAUCUGCACGGCUUUGAACAAGAAAACAAAUUCUAAAGUUGCACAAGCUUCCUUCAAUGUUUGAACUGUAUAUUAAAAUGUUCUUUCUGCAAUACACAUUGUCAAAGAGCAUUUACAUAAAGAAAAUCAAGUGCAAAACCUUUUCAGUCAAGAAAAAAAGAAAGCAUGCUAUAGCUGUUCUUUAUGGAAAGAGUAACUGUGUGUUAGAAUACUACAUCUUGCCAAAUGUUAUUAUGGGGAAAUAAUACAGCAUUGCAAAUAAUAAAUAUAAUGUCUAUCAAUACAAAUUCAUGUCCUCGAUACUUUUAAAAGUAAGCAAAUCAGCAACUUACUGUCUAUUUAAAUGGCCUUUUAGCUUGCUUUAGAAAAAAUUCAUUACAGAGUUCCACAAAAAGUGAAUACAUUGGUAAUUCUUAAUCAAGCUGACUUUUAGGACAGUACAAAUAUUUGAAGUAGUUUAUGAGAUCCCACAUUGUUUGUGGCCUGGCUAUUAUGUGUUUUAUUUCUCUGAAUCUCCACUUUUCAUUUGCCAAGUCAAUUAUGUUAUGAACGUGGAGCCCAAUCUAAAUUUACUGUAAGUACUUUCUAGCAAUAGCACUUUUGUAUUUUUACAACGGUUAACAUCUGUUAAAUAUAUGAAUGAUUUUAUCUUGUUCCAAGAGUUUGUGAUGAAUAGCAGCCUGCCAUAUCCUGCAAAUCUAGUGCAACCUCUCUUAUUUGUUACAUACAUUAAAUUCACUGUAGUUGCCUUUUUCAUCAGCUGUUUUAAAAAGCUGAUUAAUUAUAUCAAACAAUGAAAAGAAGACAGGAUAUACUCUUUAGUGUAGCACACUGGGGGUAAUUAGAUUUUUGUGCAAAAGCCUCAUGCACCAGUUGACAUUUUAUUUUAUGAUCCCCAGAUUAUCAUUCUCACUCAUUAUCACAGAACCUGUCUUUCUGGGGAUGUUGACACCUAUGACUGACUAGUUUACACAGAGUGAGCCAUCCACAGCCUCCCUGUAAGCUUUUGUGAAUUUGGUACUGUACCUGUAAAUGUCUGAGUGAAACAAAAUGCCAGUAAACUGCACCAUCAUCAGUAAAUCAGCAACGGACAAUUUAAAAUAACUGCCUCAUUGUUUCUGUAACCUGUUCAAAUCAUCCAUGAAACUACUGUAAUCUUCUUGCCUGAAACAUCAGUUCUUUUACUGUGUCUGUCUACACAGCCUUCUUCUGUAUCUUCAUUAUGUAUCUGCUCUUGAUCUGAAUUUUGUUAGAAAGCAAGCUCUUAACACAAAACCCAAAAACCUGGGCUAUGAUUUUUUCCCCAUUGAUAUAUACUUAGCUCUUCUCAGAAACAUGAAAAUUUGGAGAAGGAUGAGAUUUUAAAAAAGUGAAAGAUUUACACGAAAAGAAAGAAGAAGGUAGGCUCACAGUUGUGUGCAGCCCAACUCUGUCAGACUACAGCACCCUUACUUGUGCCAUUAUCGCAUGUGCUGGGGUUGUGCCAUGGUCCGAACCAACUUGAUUAUGAGACAUCCAGGUUGUCGGCUGAUGUCACAUAUGGUUGGAGUUUGGUGGCUACUACUCUCCAAAUUAUUUUGGAUUGGGGUUGGAGACAGGAUAGUCAUUGGAGAGGUCUUCUUUGGAGAGGUCUUUCUGGUAAGUGUUGGCUUCCUGAGGACUGGGUGAACUAUUACUUUUUUCCAGGAGUUUGGUAGCUGUGCUUCUCUGAAGCAGGCAUAGAUUAUUUCCAUUAGUAGUUCACAUAGUUCUUCUUCACUAUCUUUUACCAGCCUGGAGUCUCCUGGAUCCAUUUCACAGACUGUGGCUUUAAUAUUUUUCAGGGCUACCCUGCUUUGGCAUCAGAUACAGUUCAGUCUUUACAGGUGGCUGGAAAUUGGCCUUGAGUUGGCACAUUUAUGUGUUAGUUUAAAAUCUAACCAGACAUCAUUGAAAAUAAGAUUCAGGAAGGAGCUGUAAUAUGAGUGCUCAAACCAAGGGUUGCAAAACCAACAACAACCCCCCACCCCACCCCCAACACAUGGGCUCAUGAACAGGGCUGGGGGUGGUUGUGAUCAUCUUUCCUUACUUUAUUGCUAGAUGGGAGAGGUUGAUAACAUUUGCUCACCAUUGUAAUAUGGGAUCAUGGAAUGCAGCUUGAGAAUCACUGAGGUAGACUUACUACUAUUUUGCUCCAUGCUAUAGAAAUGAACCACUUCUACGGCAAAGGGAUAGUUUAUGUAAGAUUCGACUAUUUUCUCAGAGGGUUAUUUUAAGGGGAGGGAGUGUGGCCUAGUGAUCAGAUCCGUGGUCUGGGAGCUAGGAUUCUGUUCCCAGCUGGCUCACUGGCUCACUGUGUGACUUAUCAGGUUGCUCACCUAGUGCUGUGCGGUUUUCAUUAAUUAAUAUUUGUAAAGCCAGUUGGAAUGUUCAGAGCUCAGAAUUAAAAAAAGUAUCCAAUCUGAGAACUGUCCCAGCAACAUUUCCCAUGCUUGGCUUGUUAAUUAUUUUUAUUUACGCAUUUAUUUAUACUAUAUUUACUAAAUGGAAACAUUUUUUCUUCAAAUCUCCCAUUUCCUGUUUCAGUUAACAUCUGCCAUCAUGAUCCUAAUGUUCUAGCAGGAGGGCAUGAUUAAAACUAAUGUUAAUGUAGCCCUUUGGGUCAUCCUCCAGAGACACGGUAUAUUUGCUGAAGAACUGUCACCAGCAUGGUUGUACUGGUUAAAUGCACCUAUUAUUUUGCAGUGCAUGGCAUUAAUCUUAAAGGUGAAAUAAAACAUAUCUAAAUGUUUGUUGAAACAGAUAUCCUGAUGUAUUACGACAUGCUAGAUUCAGCAACUCCAGUUAACUAAGUCACACAUAAGGCGUUAGUAAAUAUCAGCUGUCACUCCAUCACAUACUCUAAUGUUUAUGCCGGUAAGGUGUAAUCCAUUCUGAGUGCAUUUGCUUGUGAUUACCUUUAUUAUCAGUUGUUCCAAUCUGCUUUAAUGGAAAAUGAUACGUAACUGAUGAAUCUCUUCUACGUUACCAUAGAAACAUAUUUCUUCCCUCCAUUAACUAAGCAUUAACUAUGAGAUCUUUGAUAACUCAGAAUAUUCCUCUGUAAAGAAAUAUUCAAGUUCUGGUAAUCAAAGUUGAUUCAGAGUACCACUCUCAGAUCAUUUAAAUUUUCUUUUCAAUUUUUAUUUUUGAGCUUCUCUCUAUAUCACAAAUGCAGAGCAAACAUUUUCAUUCCUGUUUUUAUAUAAGCUAAAAUCACCCAAAUUACCAUCGGAGCCUGUACCCAGUGUCAUCAAUGGUAAAACAAUUGUACAUUGCAGUGGGUGUCUGAACACAUCCUAAUACUUUAUACUAUACACUGAGGUGGAAAAUAUGUUCUGGAUCACACGUGUGACCUUCUUACUGUAUUUUUUGCAAUUACUCCAAAAUUGCACGCUCCAAAAACUGCACGAUGAACAGCUGCACAUAAGGAUAGUAAGGUGCAGACACUCCAUGCCCCAUACACAUAGAAUGCCUUUCCUGAGCCGAUCUGCAAAAGUCACUAUCAACUUCUCUUUCAAAUCCUUCCUGGAGACCCACUUUUGCUGUAGUGUCUAAAAGACAGUAGCCAGCUAAUUAUCAUUAGAUAAAAGAGCAGUUGGUGACAGAUUACAUAUACCACAUAUUAUAACAUUUUAAAAUAUGUACAACUAUGUACAAAACCAAAUCUAACAAUAUGUUUAUUAGCCGUCACUCUGACCGCUGUGCUCAUGUGUUACAUCCCUGUCCCUCACUCUUCAUCUGUUUUUCACACUGUAAGCUCAUUGGGGCAGGGAGUGUGGUUUCCUGUAUGACUGUAAAACACCUACCACAUUUUAUAGUACGCUAUAGUACAGAAAAUAAAAAUGUACCAGUACAUAAUAAAUUGCAAAGGUACUUCAGGUGUCUAAGGGACUUUAAUACCUUUGAAACUGAAAUUGCUGCUGGCUGGGAUUCUCAGUUGAUUAUCUAAUACUAAUGUAUUUAAUAUAAUAGAUAUUUAAUAUAUUUAAACUAGAAGAAGUGGCAUUAGGAAUCAGUAGCAUGGUAAAUGCCUAAUCAGUGUAUUCUCCUGUUGAUGCAUUCAUAAUUCCCAAUAAAAUGAAUAAUUAUUUA